rnacentral:rRNA from 1 species
CCUACGGGGGGCUGCAGUGGGGAAUAUUGCACAAUGGGCGCAAGCCUGAUGCAGCCAUGCCGCGUGUGUGAAGAAGGCCUUCGGGUUGUAAAGCACUUUCAGCGGGGAGGAAGGCGUUAAGGUUAAUAACCUUGUCGAUUGACGUUACCCGCAGAAGACGCACCGGCUAACUCCGUGCCAGCAGCCGCGGUAAUACGGAGGGUGCAAGCGUUAAUCGGAAUUACUGGGCGUAAAGCGCACGCAGGCGGUCUGUCAAGUCGGAUGUGAAAUCCCCGGGCUCAACCUGGGAACUGCAUUCGAAACUGGCAGGCUAGAGUCUUGUAGAGGGGGGUAGAAUUCCAGGUGUAGCGGUGAAAUGCGUAGAGAUCUGGAGGAAUACCGGUGGCGAAGGCGGCCCCCUGGACAAAGACUGACGCUCAGGUGCGAAAGCGUGGGGAGCAAACAGGAUUAGAUACCCCAGUAGUC